rnacentral:rRNA from 1 species
UGCCAGCCGCCGCGGUAAUACGAACCGUCCAAACGUUAUUCGGAAUCACUGGGCUUAAAGGGUGCGUAGGCGGUACGGUAAGUUGGGUGUGAAAUCCCUCGGCUCAACCGAGGAACUGCGCCCAAAACUAUCGUGCUCGAGGGAGACAGAGGUGAGCGGAACUUCAGGUGGAGCGGUGAAAUGCGUUGAUAUCUGAAGGAACACCCGUGGCGAAAGCGGCUCACUGGGUCUCUUCUGACGCUGAGGCACGAAAGCUAGGGGAGCGAACGGGAUUAGAUA